GAGUUUGAUCAUGGCUCAGAUUGAACGCUGGCGGCAGGCCUAACACAUGCAAGUCGAGCGGUAACAUUUCUAGCUUGCUAGAAGAUGACGAGCGGCGGACGGGUGAGUAAUGCUUGGGAACAUGCCUUGAGGUGGGGGACAACCGUUGGAAACGACGGCUAAUACCGCAUAAUACAUCUACGGAGCAAAGGGGGCUUAGGCUCUCGCCUUUAGAUUGGCCCAAGUGGGAUUAGCUAGUUGGUAAGGUAAUGGCUCUCCAAGGGCGACGCUCC
rnacentral:rRNA from 1 species